rnacentral:rRNA from 1 species
CUGUGCAAAGGUAGCAUAAUAAUUAGUUUUUUAAUUGAAGGCUUGUAUGAAUGGUCUGACAAAGAAAAAGCUGUCUUUAAUUUUAUUUUUGAAAUUAACUUUUAAGUGAAAAGGCUUAAAUAAUUUAAAGGGACGAUAAGACCCUAUAAAUCUUUAUACUAAUUUGUUAUUUAAUAAAUUAAUAUUUCUGUUAAGAAAAUAAAUAAACAAAUAGUAUUUUAUUGGGGUGAUAAGAAUACAAAAAUAACUGUUCUUAAAAUAAACAAAGUUAUUUGUUAAUAAAAAAUAAAUUAAUAGAUCCUUUAUAAAGAUAAAAAGUUUAAGUUACUUUAGGGAUAACAGCGUUAUUUUUUUUGAGAGUUCUUAUCGAAAAAAAAGUUUGCGACCUCGAUGUUGAAUUAAAAUUUUCUUUACGAUGUAGAAGUUGUAUGAGAGAGUCUGUUCGACUUUUGAAAUUUU